AGAGUUUGAUCAUGGCUCAGGAUGAACGCUGGCGGCGUGCCUAAUACAUGCAAGUCGAACGGAGUAGAAAUACUGAGUGGCGACCGGGUGCGUAACACGUAGCUGACCUGCCCCCGAGCGGGGGAUAACACCUCGAAAGAGGUGCUAAUACCGCAUGACGUGGCGAAGACUAAAGAUUUGCCACUAAACUUCCGGGGCUUGGGGAGGGGGCUGCGGCCCAUCAGGUAGUUGGUGUGGUAACGGCACACCAAGCCAACGACGGGUAGGGGUCCUGAGAGGGAGGUCCCCCACACUGGGACAGACAUACGGCCCAGACUCCUACGGGAGGCAGCAGUAAGGGAUAUUGGUCAAUGGGGGCAACCCUGAACCAGCAACGCCGCGUGGAGGAUGAAGGCUUUCGGGUCGUAAACUCCUUUUGGUGGGGAAGAGACAGGACAGUACCCACAGAAAAAGUCACGGCUAACUACGUGCCAGCCGCCGCGGUAAUUC
rnacentral:rRNA from 1 species